AAGUCUGAAUUUAGAAAAUCGAGCAACCCAAUUUUAUAUUUGAUUAGUGUUUAUGGUACUCUGAGUUGAAAAUUUUGAUGUUAUCAUAUUUUGAUAAUUGAAAUUUCUUAGGUUCUUGAGAAAAACUGCAAUGUUUCUAAAAAUGAUGCGAAAACACAUGUCUGGUAAAACCAAGUCUUGGUUUUAUGAAUUUUUGACAAUUGUUCCUUUUUGGAUAAGAUAUUUCUUAAAACUUAAGGUCCGAUAAAACUUUAAUAGGUUUUCGAAUGUUUAUAUGACAACAUCAUUGCAGAUCGGGUGCAAAUUAAGCAUUUUGACGCACAUGUUAUGCCUCUUCAUUGUUAUUCAAAUGAGCGACCAUAACCAGUUGUUUGUGUACUUCAACACAUGAUGUAUCAUUGAAAACGUGUAGGAAUUGUAUGUCAAUGGAAAUACAUGGAAUCCAACAUCCUAGCUACUUUUGCAAUUUUUCAUGCAGACUAUGAAACAGUUACUAUAGAGUAUAGUGUUCUUUAAAACGUUGUACAUGUUGAAGUGUUGUAACAAAUUACUUUUCAUCAACUAUAUGUACAAAAAUGAAUGAAAGAAGGUUAGGAUGGAAAAGUGGUGAAGAUGAAGGUUACAAUUGUGAUCUACAUAUUGAUUAAUUUGAAGCAGAUUUUGUUCUAAAGAGGGAAAUAAAUAAACAGUGUGUUUUAUAAAGAUGUUCAAUUAUUAACACAACAACAAAAAUAAUCAUUGUAUGAGAGAUAAAUGGAUAUAAGUGUAAAUAAAGACACUUUAUUUUCUUUUUCUA